rnacentral:tRNA from 1 species
GCCCACAUAGCUCAAUGGAGUAGAGCAUUCGCCUAGAUAGCGAAAGGCCCCCAGUUCAAGCCUGGGUGGAGGCA